UGGCCAAGCAGGGGUUGGAAUCCACAGAAGAAUCACAUGCCUGUUCCCAACACCCCUUGAGGCGUGGAGCCCCAGAGGCAGGCCUGCUGCACAGCCAGGCAUCUCCCACAAGCACCAGGGGGUCUGUUCCACAUAUGCACAUGUACCCAAAUGUGCACACACAUGUGCACACACACGCCCGCUCACCCCGACCCUCCUGUACGCACCCAUUCACGUGCACACCCACAGUUCCCCUACGUCUGUCUGAUCCUGCGUCACAAGGCUGUGUUUUCUGAGCACACCUCUGCACUCCCAGCUACCACCUCAGCCACAGAUGUUUGCCAGGAAGCUGGACGUGCUCUUCCCUGCAGUCUUCUUUCUCUGCUCCUCGUUGCUUGGCUUGGCUGCCACAGGGAGAGAGGAUUUGCAGUGCAGAGCACUUGCUGAUGCCAUGAGGCAUGACUCUCAUGAGGACAGUCAAGCAGACCUGCUAAGAGGUGCAUACAGCGAGAAACUGAGGCCUCUUGCCAUCAGAUCAUGUGAGUGAGCCCUCUUGGAAGCAAAUCCUAUAGCCCCAGUUGAGCCUUCAGAUGACAGCAGCCCUGGAUAACAUCUUGAUGGAACCUUGUGAGAGACCAGAACCACCCAGACAAGCCACUCCUGGCUUUCUGACCCACACAAACCUUGAAAUAAUAAGUGUAUAUUGUUUUAGGCUACUACAUUUUGAGGAUAAUUUGUUAUGCAACACUAGAUAACUAACACACUACCUUUACUCACCAGAAUGGCUAAUAUUAAGAAGAUUGAUAGUAACAAGUGUUGAUGAGAAUGUGGAGCUACUGGAACUCUCACGGACUGCUGCUGGAAAUGUAAAUUGAAACAACCAUUUUGGAAAACAAUUUGGUAUUAUUUCUAUUACUUUCUAAAUAAUUGAAGGUAUGCAUUUCCAAUGACCCAUCCCUGAUGACCCAGCAAUUACACUUAUGGGAAUAUACCCAACGGAAAGGUGUAUGUGUAAAUGUGCGUAUCAGGAUACAUAUAUAGAACAUUCCUAACAGCAUUAUUUAUAAUAGCCCCAAGCAAAAAAUGGACCAAAAUUUCAUUCACAGUUCAUUCAUACAAUGGAAUACUGUAAGCUAUGAAAAUUAAGGAAUUAUGACUAUACACAAUACCAGGAAUAGGUCUCAGAAGCCUAAUUUGAGUGAAAGCAGUCUGACACAGAAAAGUCCAUGUUAUAUAAUUCUAUUUAAAUGAAGUUACCCUUGGUGAGGUGGAGGGGCCUCAGGGAGUUGGCCUCCCACCUCACCAAAUAAGACUCCAUGUCUUAUUCUUUACCUGGCUAGUGGUUACAUGGCUGUUCACUACAUGGUCUGCACAUUUUUGUUUUGUACCUUUUUGUGCAAAUGUACACUUUUAAAAUGAAUUACAAAACCACACAACCCAACAGCAUAACACCAAAAACCACAGUCCCAUGAGUCUGUCUUAACAGCCCUCAGAGUGGGCUCAGCAGAUCAUCCUGGUGUGAGUUCAGUGAGUGCUGUUUUAUCAGGGCCAAACCAUGCAGUUGGCCUGUGGUUCUCUAGGGGGCUUGACCUUCAGGAGUCCAUGGAAUGUGUAUUUCUUGGGUAAUUCUCCAUGAAAAAUAUUGCUUUAAUUAAAACUGGAGAACAGAGAGUUUGAGGUAACGUUCUCUGGUGAUAGCCUGACGUCCUGUUCCUCAGCUCGGCUGAUUCAAGGUCAAUUGCUAUUGUUUGAGUGUUUGUCCCCUCUAAAACUCAUGUUGAGGCUGGGUGUGGUGGCUCAUGCCUGUAAUCCCAGCACCUUGGGAGGCUGAGGCAGGC
rnacentral:lncRNA from 10 species